rnacentral:rRNA from 1 species
UGGGGAAUAUUGCGCAAUGGGCGAAAGCCUGACGCAGCUACGCCGCGUGAGUGAUGAAGGCCCUCGGGUUGUAAAGCUCUGUCGGGAGGGACGAAGGCAGCUUGCUGCUUGACGGUACCUCGCAAGAAAGCACCGGCUAACUCCGUGCCAGCAGCCGCGGUAAUACGGAGGGUGCAAGCGUUGCUCGGAAUUACUGGGCGUAAAGCGGGCGCAGGCGGUCCGUACAAGUCGGGUGUGAAAGCCCGGGGCUCAACCCCGGAACUGCAUCCGAAACUGUCGGACUUGAGUCAAGGAGAGGGUAGCGGAAUUCCUGGUGUAGAGGUGAAAUUCGUAGAUAUCAGGAGGAACAUCAGUGGCGAAGGCGGCUACCUGGCCUUGUACUGACGCUCAUGCCCGAAAGCGUGGGGAGCAAACAGG